GCCGGAAUAGCUCAGKUGGUAGAGCAGAGGACUGAAAAUC
rnacentral:tRNA from 1 species